rnacentral:lncRNA from 1 species
GUUAUACCCCUCCUAUCUGAGAACCUCUCCAUACCUAACCUGUGAGGAGGUACACGGUUAUACCCCUCCUACCUGAGAACCUCUCCAUACCUAACCUGAGGGGUACACUGUUAUACCCCUCCUAUCUGAGAACCUCUCUAUACCUAACCUGUGAGGGGGUACACGGUUAUACCCCUCCUACCUGAGAACCUCUCUAUACCCAACCUGUGAGAGGAACACGGUUAUAC